rnacentral:ncRNA from 2 species
CCGUUCUCAACGGGGUGCCCUGCGUUACAGGGGCUGAGAGAGACCCGUCGAACCUGAUCCGGUUAAUACCGGCGUAGGGAUUUGAGAUGCCUCACUGC